GUAGGGAAUAUUGGACAAUGGGCGCAAGCCUGAUCCAGCCAUGCCGCGUGUGUGAAGAAGGCCUUCGGGUUGUAAAGCACUUUUGUCCGGGAAGAAAUCUUCCAGGUUAAUACCCUGGGAGGCUGACGGUACCGGAAGAAUAAGCACCGGCUAACUUCGUGCCAGCAGCCGCGGUAAUACGAAGGGUGCAAGCGUUACUCGGAAUUACUGGGCGUAAAGCGUGCGUAGGUGGUUCGUUAAGUCUGCCGUGAAAGCCCCGGGCUCAACCUGGGAAUGGCGGUGGAUACUGGCGGGCUAGAGUGCGGUAGAGGGUGGUGGAAUUCCCGGUGUAGCAGUGAAAUGCGUAGAGAUCGGGAGGAACAUCUGUGGCGAAGGCGGCCACCUGGACCAGCACUGACACUGAGGCACGAAAGCGUGGGGAGCAAACAGGAUUAGAAACCCGAGUAGUCC
rnacentral:rRNA from 1 species